rnacentral:tRNA from 1 species
CUCUUGUUAGCUCAGUUUGUUAGAGCAUGGUGCUGGUAAUGCCAAGGUUGGAGGUUCAAUCCCCAUACGGGACA